rnacentral:rRNA from 1 species
AGAGUUUGAUCCUGGCUCAGGAUGAACGCUGGCGGCGUGCUUAACACAUGCAAGUCGAACGAACCUUCGGGUUAGUGGCGGACGGGUGAGUAACGCGUGAGAAUCUGCCCUCAGGAGGGGGAUAACAGUUGGAAACGACUGCUAAUACCCCAUAUGCCGAGAGGUGAAAUGAAUUUCGCCUGGGGAUGAGCUCGCGUCUGAUUAGCUUGUUGGUGGGGUAAUAGCCUACCAAGGCUUCGAUCAGUAGCUAGUCUGAGAGGACGAUCAGCCACACUGGGACUGAGACACGGCCCAGACUCCUACGGGAGGCAGCAGUGGGGAAUUUUCCGCAAUGGGCGAAAGCCUGACGGAGCAACGCCGCGUGAGGGAUGGAGGCCUUUGGGCUGUAAACCUCUUUUCUCAAGGAAGAAGAUCUGACGGUACUUGAGGAAUAAGCCACGGCUAAUUCCGUGCCAGCAGCCGCGGUAAUACGGGAGUGGCAAGCGUUAUCCGGAAUUAUUGGGCGUAAAGCGUCCGCAGGCGGCCGUUUAAGUCUGUUGUUAAAUCGUGGAGCUCAACUCCAUCACGGCAAUGGAAACUGUUCGGCUUGAGUAUGGUAGGGGCAGAGGGAAUUUCCGGUGUAGCGGUGAAAUGCGUAGAUAUCGGGAAGAACACCAGUGGCAAAAGCGCUCUGCUGGGCCAUUACUGACGCUCAUGGACGAAAGCCAGGGGAGCGAAAGGGAUUAGAUACCCCUGUAGUCCUGGCCGUAAACGAUGAACACUAGAUGUUGGGGGAAUCGACCCCCUCGGUGUCGUAGCUAACGCGUUAAGUGUUCCGCCUGGGGAGUACGCACGCAAGUGUGAAACUCAAAGGAAUUGACGGGGGCCCGCACAAGCGGUGGAGUAUGUGGUUUAAUUCGAUGCAGCGCGAAGAACCUUACCAAGGCUUGACAUCCUGCGAAUCUCUAAGAAAUUAGAGAGUGCCUUCGGGAACGCAGUGACAGGUGGUGCAUGGCUGUCGUCAGCUCGUGUCGUGAGAUGUUGGGUUAAGUCCCGCAACGAGCGCAGCCCACGUUUUUAGUUGCCAGCAUUCAGUUGGGCACUCUAGAAAGACUGCCGGUGACAAACCGGAGGAAGGUGUGGACGACGUCAAGUCAUCAUGCCCCUUACGCCUUGGGCUACACACGUACUACAAUGCUGCGGACAAAGAGUAGCGAUCUUGCGAAAGUUAGCUAAUCUCAUAAACCGUGGCUCAGUUCAGAUCGUAGGCUGCAACUCGCCUACGUGAAGGAGGAAUCGCUAGUAAUCGCAGGUCAGCAUACUGCGGUGAAUACGUUCCCGGGCCUUGUACACACCGCCCGUCACACCAUGGAAGUUGGCCAUGCCCGAAGUCGUUACUCUAACCUUUUGGAAGAGGGCGCCGAAGGCAGGGCUAAUGACUGGGGUGAAGUCGUAACAAGGUAACC